rnacentral:rRNA from 1 species
CCUGACGCGCAACGCCGCGUGGAUGAUGAAGGCCUUCGGGUUGUAAAGUUCUGUCUUCUGGGACGAUAAUGACGGUACCAGAGGAGGAAGCCACGGCUAACUACGUGCCAGCAGCCGCGGUAAUACGUAGGUGGCAAGCGUUGUCCGGAUUUACUGGGCGUAAAGGAUGCGUAGGCGGACAUUUAAGUCAGAUGUGAAAUACCCGAGCUUAACUUGGGUGCUGCAUUUGAAACUGGGUGUCUAGAGUGCAGGAGAGGUAAGUGGAAUUCCUAGUGUAGCGGUGAAAUGCGUAGAGAUUAGGAAGAACACCAGUGGCGAAGGCGACUUACUGGACUGUAACUGACGCUGAGGCAUGAAAGCGUGGGGAGCAAACAGGAUUAGAUACCCUGGUAGUCCACGCCGUAUACGAUGAAUACUAGGUGUCGGGGGUCGAACCUCGGUGCCGCAGUUAACUCAAUAAGUAUUCCGCCUGGUGAGUACGAUCGCUCGAUUAAA